UUAAAAUUGAUGAUGAUAACAUAGUUCAUUUGAAUUAAUAUGAAAGUGAGCAUAAUGCAAUUGUCUUUCGCUCCUAUCUGAAGCAUAAG